UACAGAGGUCUCAAGCGUUGUUCGGAUUCAUUGGGCGUAAAGGGUGCGUAGGUGGCGCGCUAAGUCGGGUGUGAAAUCUCGGAGCUUAACUCCGAAACUGCAUUCGAUACUGGCGUGCUCGAGGACUGAAGAGGAGACUGGAAUUUACGGUGUAGCAGUGAAAUGCGUAGAUAUCGUAAGGAAGACCAGUGGCGAAGGCGGGUCUCUGGGCAGUUCCCGACACUGAGGCACGAAGGCCAGGGGAGCAAACGGG
rnacentral:rRNA from 1 species